UUAUAUAUUUAAUUUAUGUAAUAAAAAUUUUCAAUAAACAAAAAAUAAUUAUUAUCACCGUGCACCCUAAUUAAAUUAGGACAAAAGAGAAAUGCUAGAGACAAUCACAAUGGCACACGUUUUGGACACUCGAAUUGUUAUGAAAUCACACCAUCUCACGUUUUGAGUUUGAAAUCGGAACUCUAAAUAUAAAGUUACUUGAUUUCUCAAAUGUUUUGGAUAUCAUCAUGAAUAAAAGAUAUUAAUAAAAUAAAAAAUAAAACAUACCGAGAGUCCAUUUUAUAUUAAAAAAUAAAAACCUAAAAUCCUAUCUAUUAAAUUUUGUUGUAUAUUUAAUUUUUAGGAUUACGUUUUUUAAAAAAAAAUUGAUUAACUUGUUUCUUUUUUUAAUAUGAAGUUCAUUAGUGGUGUUAUUUGUUACGGUAUUACAAGUCUAAAAUUCUGUAUAGUUUUUUAUAUUGAUAAAAUUAAUGAAAAAAAGUUCAGUUGAAAUUUUUUACGUGGUUUUUGUUAUUUUAAUUAAUUUAAAAUUAAAGUUCAGUAAACAUAUAGGAUUGUCUGCGAAUUGACGAAGAAAGCUGAGUUUAGAAGGACAUCAAGUUUCCAAUCAUCAAAAGAUGUUUAUGUUUUUCUUUGAUUUACUUAUAAGUUUUGCUUUUGGUUUGUACUUUUUUUUUUUUUUGCCGUUGUACUUGUUUCAAGGUUGUAUAGUGCAUUACUUCGGACUUAUAUGCUUAUAUGCUGGUUAAGCGUGCACAAGAAAUAUUUAAUAAAAUACCCAUGAGAAUUUCUUUUCUAUUACUUACAAAAUUUUAUUUAAGUUUUAUUGAUAUUUUCUAUUAGAAGUAUUCAUUAGAAGAUAGAGUCGAGAUUGGUUAACACCUUAAAAUUUUUAUCCAAGAUUUGGUUUGGCCCAGUCUAUAGAACCAAAAAAAGUUUGUUACGAUUCAAAAAAUAUUAAAAUUUUUCUAUUAAUAUUUUAAUGAUUUAACAUAUAUUUUAAAAUUAAAAAAUAAAAACCAGUUUUUAUUAAUUAAAAUAAUGUCUUUAGUUGGGUCAGCUGGACAGGUCUACUUUCAACUAUCUUGUUUGUAAUGUGAAUUAUAUUUUUGUAAAUAUAUGACAAUUUUUUAAAGUAAAUUUUUUAAAAAAAGAUAAAUCAACAUUCGUAAAAAAAAAAAAAAAAAAAAAAUCUUAUCUAAAAUGAAAUAUAUUUCAUUCUUUGCAUAAAACUUAAAUUCUUUUAGAAUUUUUUUGUACAUAGUCAACAAAUAUAUUUAGAAAACAUGACAAAAGCCAUUAAAAUCGGAGUCCGAAGCAAGUUAUAAUUUCUUGUUGCUGCCUUGGAAGCAAGUUGCGUUUCCUUUCAGACUUGGUGCAUGAAUAUGAUGAAACAAAUAGAUUUGCGGGGAUAGAGGAUAGCUAGUUGACGUGGCUUUAUAAGGAUUUAAGUGUCCAAAAAUGGGUGCUAGUGUGACUGUCCCUAGCAUUCCUCUUAGGGCAAAAACCAACUCAAUUGUCUCUUGGGAAAGUCGGGGACCCAAUCAUCAAGUGCCUUACCUGGUGUCAUGUUUCAAGAUUUGACUACUUGACCAGGGCUUAUAAUUAAAGGUUCCAGUUUUUUUCUUUUGAACUUUGGGGUCAUGC
rnacentral:lncRNA from 1 species